rnacentral:rRNA from 1 species
GACUAGCCGUAACCAACAUAGCAAGUAGACGAGAACCUUCGGGUCUAGUGGCGCACGGGUGCGUAACGCGUGGGAAUCUGCCCUGGGGUGCGGAAUAACUCGGAGAAAUCCGUGCUAAUACCGCAUAAUGUCUUCGGACCAAAGAUUUAUCGCCCUGGGAUGAGCCCGCGUAGGAUUAGCUAGUUGGUGGGGUAAAGGCCUACCAAGGCGACGAUCCUUAGCUGGUCUGAGAGGAUGAUCAGCCACACUGGGACUGAGACACGGCCCAGACUCCUACGGGAGGCAGCAGUGGGAAUAUUGGACAAUGGGCGAAAGCCCUGAUCCAGCAAUGCCGCGUGAGUGAUGAAGGCCCUAGGGUUGUAAAGCUCUUUACCCGGGAUGAUAAUGACGGUACCGGGAGAAUAAGCUCCGGCUAACUCCGUG